rnacentral:rRNA from 1 species
GACGAACGCUGGCGGCGUGCUUAACACAUGCAAGUCGAACGGGAUCCGGGCUUUCGGGUUGGGUGAGGGUGGCGAACGGGUGAGUAACACGUGAGUAACCUGCCCCCUUCGUUGGGAUAACGUCGGGAAAUCGGCGCUAAUACGGGGUAUUCUUGCUGCAUCGCAUGGGGUGGUUUGGAAGGGGGUUCUGGUGGGGGAUGGGCUCGCGGCCUAUCAGCGUGGUGGUGGGGUGAUGGCCUACCAGGGCUUUGACGGGUAGCCGGCCUGAGAGGGUGUCCGGCCACACUGGGACUGAGACACGGCCCAGACUGCUACGGGAGGCAGCAGUGGGGAAUAUUGCACAAUGGGCGCAAGCCUGCUGCAGCGACGCCGCGUGAGGGAUGACGGCCUUCGGGUUGUAAACCUCUUUCAGUAUGGAACAAGGAUCCUUCUUUUGGGGGGUUUGAGGGUACGUGCAGAAGAAGCGCCGGCUAACUACGUG